rnacentral:rRNA from 1 species
CUGGCGGCGUGCUAUACAUGCAAGUCGAACGAACUCUGGUAUUGAUUGGUGCUUGCAUCAUGAUUUACAUUUGAGUGAGUGGCGAACUGGUGAGUAACACGUGGGAAACCUGCCCAGAAGCGGGGGAUAACACCUGGAAACAGAUGCUAAUACCGCAUAACAACUUGGACCGCAUGGUCCGAGCUUGAAAGAUGGCUUCGGCUAUCACUUUUGGAUGGUCCCGCGGCGUAUUAGCUAGAUGGUGGGGUAACGGCUCACCAUGGCAAUGAUACGUAGCCGACCUGAGAGGGUAAUCGGCCACAUUGGGACUGAGACACGGCCCAAACUCCUACGGGAGGCAGCAGUAGGGAAUCUUCCACAAUGGACGAAAGUCUGAUGGAGCAACGCCGCGUGAGUGAAGAAGGGUUUCGGCUCGUAAAACUCUGUUGUUAAAGAAGAACAUAUCUGAGAGUAACUGUUCAGGUAUUGACGGUAUUUAACCAGAAAGCCACGGCUAACUACGUGCCAGCAGCCGCGGUAAUACGUAGGUGGCAAGCGUUGUCCGGAUUUAUUGGGCGUAAAGCGAGCGCAGGCGGUUUUUUAAGUCUGAUGUGAAAGCCUUCGGCUCAACCGAAGAAGUGCAUCGGAAACUGGGAAACUUGAGUGCAGAAGAGGACAGUGGAACUCCAUGUGUAGCGGUGAAAUGCGUAGAUAUAUGGAAGAACACCAGUGGCGAAGGCGGCUGUCUGGUCUGUAACUGACGCUGAGGCUCGAAAGUAUGGGUAGCAAACAGGAUUAGAUACCCUGGUAGUCCAUACCGUAAACGAUGAAU